GAUGAACGCUAGCGGCAAGCUUAAUACAUGCAAGUCGUGGGGCAGCAUGAAGUAGCAAUACUUUGAUGGCGACCGGCAAACGGGUGCGGAACACGUACACAACCUUCCGAUAAGUGGGGAAUAGCCCAGAGAAAUUUGGAUUAAUACCCCGUAACAUUGCGAUGUGGCAUCACAUUGCAAUUAUAGCUUCGGCGCUUAUUGAUGGGUGUGCGUAUGAUUAGAUAGUUGGCGGGGUAACGGCCCACCAAGUCUACGAUCAUUAGCUGAUGUGAGAGCAUGAUCAGCCACACGGGCACUGAGACACGGGCCCGACUCCUACGGGAGGCAGCAGUAAGGAAUAUUGGUCAAUGGACGCAAGUCUGAACCAGCCAUGCCGCGUGAAGGAUUAAGGUCCUCUGGNUUGUAAACUUCUUUUAGUUGUAAACCUCUUUUAGCAGGGAAGAAGGAAAGUG
rnacentral:rRNA from 1 species